GGCGCCGGAAGGGGCGGGGAUAGGACAGCGAGACCGUUGGGUGGGAGGAGGGGAAAGCAGUGGCGCGUAGGUUGAAAAUGUCGGAGAUGGGCAGGGAGUGGGGGAGUGGUUUGGUUCCGGUUGUCUCUGCGGCACUGGCGCGGGUGGAGGCUGUGGCCGCGGACUGGGUAUUGGAAUUCAGCUGCUACUGCCUGUGUCGGCAUUUCGUGGAGGAGUGCGGGGCCGAAUUCAGGCGGUGGACGGAUGUGGCGCUAGCUGUUUCUAAUGGCUUCUCCAAAGUAACUGCACACCAGAAAAAAAUGGUGUACCUCUGUCAGCUUUUGAUAAGAAUUGCAAAAGGAAAAAGACUUGAAUGCCAUUUUGAAAAUGACAAAAGAAUUUCGCCCUUGGAGUCUGCUCUAUCUUUUUGGACGUUACUUGAAAGAGAAGAAAGUAAACUCGAUACACGUCAUGAAGAAAUUCGUCGUUUGAUUCAAAUUCAGGUUGUAGCAGUCUAUAUGGAAAAAGGGUAUUAUAAGGAGGCUGGUGAAGUUCUUGAAAGGCUAUUUACAGACUCAGAAUCACAUAAGCCUUUAAGGAUGAAGCUGGCAACCAUAGUCAAAAGCAAGGAUCCAUAUGUUCCCCUUCUCCAAAGCUUCAGUUACAAUCUUUUGCUAAGUAAAGUCAAGUCUUACGUUGAACUUUUCCUGAAAGAAAACGAAACUAACUUCUUACUACAGGUAGCUACAAAACAAGUGGAGUCUAAAGGAGGGGAGGUAACAGUGUUGCAGAGCAAAACUAUGAAUGUCAAAGAAGAGAGAGAAAAUAAUUCGGAAACUAAACAAAGACUUACAGAAGAGCUACGGAGUACUACAAGCUGGUUAUCUGGAGACAUAACAUCCAUAAUAAGGCCUUGUUCAAAAGAGAGAUACAGAGCAAGCAGUGUUCAGAGGCUGAAAGACUUGCAAAAUGUGGAAGAACGUGGAGGUGAUUUACCUGGUGGCCGAAGAAGACAGACACAGGCACUGACAUGGCCAGUCACACAGACCACCUCAGGCACUGCCAUCAGUAACGCUCACGUAGAGAAGACCUACUUAAAAUACAUCCCCUUCUUCAGCUGGCAGAGGAGUUUUGCUUGUGAAAGCACACACAUUGGUGGAUUCCCCCAAGUACUAGCGUAGCCCAUCUGCCAGCCUUGUACACCUGUGUAAGUCCUGUUAUGUGCUUCAUGGAUCCUUUAUUUUUCUGUCCGGUACAGACUGAUGCACCAAACACAGCACUUGCUCACUUGUCCCACUGGCAUUUCACACUUGAGUUGCAUUCCAGUGUGCAUCUCUUUUCAUGCAGAAGGCAAGCCAUACUCUGUGCAAGUGCUUUUCUGGCUGUCCUUUAAGACGCUUUACUUCAUGUUUCAGAAAGGCAAAAGUGAUAAAACUCGUGGCUUGAGAUAAAGACAGUUUAAUUGGUAAAGCAAAACUGCAUGCAAGCAAAGCAAGAUCAGGAAUUCAUUCAAUACUGCUUGUGGGCAAAUUAGUUAUUUCUAGGAAAGCAGAGUGCUAUCAGGUGUAACUAACUGGUUUUUUGGGAGAAGACAACACUCCCAUCCCCUUUCCUCUUUCUUUAACUCAGUUUUCAUUGCUGAGCACGACAUCAUGAGGUAUGGGGUUAUGGAAUUAUCCUGUUGGUCCCUUUGCGUCACCUGUCCUGGCUUUGUCCCCUCCCAUCUUCUUGUGCACUCUCCUCGUUUGUUCACUAGAGGGCAGCAUGAGAAGCAGGAAAGACCAGCAUUGACAUGUUACUGUUUUUGUCACAAGUCCAAAGCUUAGCACUGUAUCAUCUACUGUGAAUAAAGUUAACUCUGUCCCACAAAAUCAGUACUGCUAUGCAAACCUAUUCUUCACCAAAUCUAUUAGAUAAGCAGGAUAUGGUAAACAGGAACAGCAAUUUAAAUUCUUCAGAUAAGGAGGCUCUAGAAAAUACGCACUUGUAAAUGCAGUCAACUCCUUUGCUAAUUAAAUUGUCCUGACUGGUGGCACCGUUAGUUGCAAAUGUUUGGUAACUAGUGAGACCUGCAAAAGCCUGAGACAUUAACUAUGUUGCUUCUACACAUCAGUAAGCAUGAACGUGACCCAAUAAUUGCAGUGUUUUUGAUUGCUUGUCUAUAUAAAUUUCAUGGUGCUUUUCUGAGCACAACUACUGACUGUUUUUGCUAUUUCAGUGCAACUCCAAAAUAAGGCACUGGUAAAAUGCAAAAGUAAGAGGCCUUCAUGGCUGGAUUUUCAGAAGUCAUGCUCAUGACUUGUACAAACACACAUGCAGAAUGGAUUAUCAUGUAUUUUCUAGAAGUCCACCAACUAGAAUUAGAUUUUUAGUGUGGAAGGUGGUGCUACUCGCAGAAAUGCCAAUGUGAGAUGAGUGAAAAUUGACCUUUUGUAUCUUUCUGUAACAACUGUGGUCCAUGAGACCAUCAGGAGCAGCAGGAUUCCUCCAGUGAAAGAAGCAGAAAUUAACACAGAUUAAUUAAAUGGAACACUUACAGAAUUCUCUAUACAUCUCAACUCAAUCUCAUUAAUGUUUUUGAGUUAAUGCUUUUUUCUGUAAGUGAAGUCUUUGUUCUUUCAAGAUUUCUUCCCCAAAAUCUGAAAAGCAUGCUAUAAAAUGCCAUUUAAAACAGAAGUUGGUUCUUACUUUUUAGAUGCAUUUUUCCUAAACAGUUCCUCCAAAGGGAGAUUCUGUUCUCUAUUUGUACAAAUUAUAUAGAAUUCAGUUUGCCUGAGGAGAUGUACGUCUGUAUGAUUGUGUCCUUGUUUUGGCUGAGAUAAAAGUUAAGUUUCUUCACAGUUGCAGUAUGAUGCUGUGUUUUGGAUUCAGGAGAAGAACAGUGUUGAUAGCAUACUGAUGCUUUGGUUGUUGCUGAGCAGUGCUUACUCUAAGUAAGGACUUUUCAGAUUCUCACACCUCCCUGCCAUCAAGGAGCUGAGGGGCACAAGGAGCUGGGAGGGGGCAGAACCAGGAUAGCUGACCUAAGCUGCUCAAAGGGAUAUUCCAUAUGACAUCAUGCUGAAUGAUAAAACAGAAGGGAAUUGGCUGAGGGGACACCCACUGCUUAGGGUCUGGCUGGGCAUUGGUCUGUGGCUGCCAUGGACUUCUGAAGAAGACAAGAAACUGAAAUCAGGAGUAAGGCAGUUUGGAGUGGGCAAUUGGACUAAAAUUCUGAUCCAUGGUG